rnacentral:lncRNA from 1 species
UGAAAUCUAAUGUGGAUUUUAUACUUCCAGCACAUCUUUGUGUGGACCAGCCACAUUUAAAGUGCUCAAUAGUCACCAAAGCUACUGGCUACUGUCUUCGAAAGCACAAUGUUAGAAACUUUUAUUUUAAAUGGACUCUUGAAGGUUUCUCCUGUUGUGCAGGUGGUGAAUGUAGUGGGAGUGAUAUACACCAGUGACUCUCAAAUAUGCAGAAGAAUCACUAGAGGGAUGAGGUUUUACAGGAUGCCAAGUGCCACUCUAAAGCAAGGAACUAAACCAUCUAUACAGAAAUUGCAUUUGGGGUGCUCUUUUGCCAGCAUUAUUCCACUUCAUCCUAAAAAAGAAAAGGUAAAGACGUCAUUAGGAAGUAGGGAGAUUUGUAAAAAAAUAAUUCCUUUAGGUCAAUGGACCUGGACAAUUUUGCCCCACCAAGGACAUUUGACAACAUUUGCAGAUAUUUUUGGUUGUCACAGCUGGGAGUUGAUGCUACUAGCAUCUUGGAGGUAGAGACCAGGGAUACUGCUUAAUAUCUACAACACACAGGACAGCCUCCCACAACAAAAGAUUAUCAAGUGGCAAAUGUUAAUAGUGCCUACUGCGAUAGCUUGGCUAAGGUCCUCUGAAAUUUGGUAAACACACAUAGCAGUAUUUGAUUCACCCUUGGGAAAGCUCUGAAGAGCAAGGGCUGACUGCAGCUAUCAGUGGCAAAAGAAGAAAGAAAAAGAAGCUCAAGAUAAGAAGUACUUGCACUUUGAGAGUGCAGUGGGUUAAGGACCCCUGAGUUUUCUGGGCUAAAUGAACAAUGACUUGAAUCAUUUCAAAAAGGAUCUGUUGUAAACCAGAUCUCCAGAACUUUUUCAUCUUGCAAAACUGAAACUCUAUACCCAUUAAAUGGCAACUCCUGGUUUCCCCUUCUCCUACCCCUAACAACCACCAUCCUACUUUCUAUUUCUAUGAAUUGAACUACUUUAGAUAUAAGAGGAAUAAUACAGUAUAUGUAUAUGUCUUCUUGUGACUGGCUUAUUUCACUCAGCAUAUUUUCAAGGUUCAUCCAUAUUGUUGCAAAUGAAAGGAUUUCCUUUGUUAUUGAGGCUGAAUAACAUGUCAUUGUAUGUGUGUACCACAUUUUGUUUAUCCAUUCAUCUCUCAGUGUUUUUUAAGGAAUUCAUCCAUUCUUAUUGACAUGGAAGUAGAGAAUAAAUUGACCCAUUGUCCCCUCUAUGAAUUGUUUGUACAUACUAAAUUCUGUGGAGACUAGUUAUAUCCUUUCCUUUUCACUCCUAGCAUUCAAUGAUUAAAAUAAUUUUUUCUCACUCGUGACUUUUCAUUUUAAGUUUUCCUGAUCAUGAUAUAUUGUUUUCUUAUCUUUCAAAUAUUUGGGCAGAAAUAAUGUGAUUGUGUAGUACAUUUAUCUUGGAAUGUGUAAUAUAUUUAAAUUAUAUUUAUAUAAUGAACCAUUAAACUUUAAUAGCAAUUAACAUUUUGUGAGAAAAUUUUCACAGCUACCAAUAAAUAAUUGCUAUAAUUAGAUUAUUUUGUGGUAAUGGUAAAGGAACGUUACUUAUUAUAGCAUAAUUUACAUCAUAAUACUAUGAAAGUAUUCUUAAACUUAAAUUGGAAAUGCCACAGCAUCUUUUUAGUAAAAUAAAUGCCAAAUGCUAUGAACUAAUAAAUGAAACACAAAAUUUAGUAAAAUAUUACCAAUAAGGAUUUUUUCUUUCUUUAUUUUAAGGUAUUUUCU